GCAGGAGAGCCACACGCCGUGCUCCGGUGGCGGCGUCAGUCCCUGCCCGUCCCCGCGCGCGGCUCCCGCCGGCCGCGCUCAUCCCCCGCUGCCAUAGCUACCGGCAGCCGCGCCGCCGCCUCUCGCGAGAGCCGCCAUCUUCCCGCGAGAGCCGCGGGCGGCGCCGGCGGCGGGCGCCUCCUCUGGCGAGAGGGCUGAGGCGGCGCUGGGCACGGAGCUGCCGGCCGGGAAUGGCGCUGGGCACGGCGCUGGGCACGGCGCGGUGGGAUUGCGGACAGCCGCAGAGCCUGGGCAGUGCUAGCUGCGAAACACGGCUGGAGGGAACAGACACGUUCGUACCUUGCAAAAGUUUGGUUGUAGUUCAUGUGAGCUGAGUUAGCUGACAGGCUAGAGCCAAGACAUGGUGUCUUCAACACCAUGCGUACUUCGGGUGUGAAUUAGACCAUCUCAGGAUGAGGGAAAAUUGAGUAAGAUAUUUUAGAAACAUGUAGUGUGAUUUUUUUGGAUACUAGACAACAUGUAAAAUUACUACAAAUCUCACAUUCCCUGAACUGUGUCAACUGUACAUUGCAACCUCUGAUUUUCCUGUCACCAGUGCAGACUGAUCUUAAUAUUAACUCUGGUGACACCCAAGAAACGCUUUUCAAGCCGACUGAAAUAAAUAGGUGCUUUCCUAUGAAUUCAGGACCAUGCAUAUAGAGAGAAUCCGAGGAGAAUUGUGACGACCACCAUUUCCACUUAGUACCUCAGUGAAAGAGUGUUCCCAGAAUCUGAGAGGUACAGCUUUUGUAACAAUUCUUAGAGAAAUGCCACCACCUCUCUGCAAAUGCAGGAACCUGGGGUAAAACAAUAAUGUCUGAGCCUGGGAAGACUUGAGACCUUUGUCAGCCUUCUAUAGUACAAUUGCACUGUCUCUGUCUGAAUUUCCAGAAAAUAUUUGUUCACAGUAAGCCCUGUCACAAGAACCAGGAAGAAUAACUAUUUUGAUUUGGCACCUGAAGAACUUAUAACCAUAAAUUAAUCUCAUCUUUUGCAUUCAUUUGUUCACUCUGGAUUUUUGAAAGGCAAAUGUUUGUUAUCAUUCUGGCUUGAUAACUUCUUCUGCUCCAAUUUUUUUUGAAGGGUAGUGGUCCCUUGUCUGCAAAUGUAUUGGUAUCAGUUCUCCCUGAAAGUAUUUCAGAUUAUAUUUUGUUUAAAUGAAAAAUUUAUACAAAACAUCACAUAACAUUUUAAAAUUCAAACUCUGCACAAAA